GUCUGAGUGGCUCAGUCGGUUAAGCAUCUGACUUCAGUUCAGGUCAUGAUCUCACGUUUCAUGGGUUCAAGCCCCGUGUUGGGCU
rnacentral:tRNA from 1 species